AUUGAACGCUGGCGGCAGGCCUAACACAUGCAAGUCGAACGCGUGGCGGACGGGUGAGUCAUGUCUGUGAACCUGCCUGAUGGCGGGGGAUAACUCCUGGAACCGGUAGCUAAUACCGCAUACCAUCCACUGUUCCCAGAUGGGAUUAGCUAGUUGGUGGGGUAACGGCUCACCAAGGCAACGAUCCAUAGCUGGUCUGAGAGGAUGACCGGCCACACUGGAACUGAGACAGGGUCCAGACUCCUACGGGAGGCAGCAGUAGGGAAUAUUGCACAAUGGGCGAAAGCCUGAUGGAGCAACGCCGCGUGAAUGAAGAAGGUCUUCGGGUUGUAAAGCACUUUCAGUGGGGAGGCGUUACCCACAGAGAAAGCAACGGCUAACUCCGUGCCAGCAGCCGCGGUAAUUC
rnacentral:rRNA from 1 species